rfam:Ovis aries breed Texel chromosome 1, whole genome shotgun sequence.
GUUUCUGUAGUGUAGUGGUUAUCACGUUUGCCUAACACGCAAAAGGUCCCUGGUUCGAAACCAGGCAGAAACA